GGGGAAUAUUGGACAAUGGGCGCAAGCCUGAUCCAGCAAUGCCGCGUGAGUGAUGAAGGCCUUAGGGUUGUAAAGCUCUUUCACCCGGGAAGAUAAUGACUGUACCGGGAGAAUAAGCCCCGGCUAACUCAGUGCGAGCAGCCGCGGUAAUACGGAGGGGGCUAGCGUUGUUCGGAAUUACUGGGCGUAAAGCGCACGUAGGCGGCUUUGUAAGUUAGAGGUGAAAGCCCGGGGCUCAACCCCGGAAUUGCCUUUAAGACUGCAUCGCUUGAAUUGUGGAGAGGUAAGUGGAAUCCCGAGUGUAGAGGUGAAAUUCGUAGAUAUUCGGAAGAACACCAGUGGCGAAGGCGACUUACUGGACACAUAUUGACGCUGAGGUGCGAAAGCGUGGGGAGCAAA
rnacentral:rRNA from 1 species